rnacentral:rRNA from 1 species
AUUGAACGCUGGCGGCAGGCCUAACACAUGCAAGUCGAGCGGAUGAAGGGAGCUUGCUCCUGGAUUCAGCGGCGGACGGGUGAGUAAUGCCUAGGAAUCUGCCUGGUAGUGGGGGAUAACGUCCGGAAACGGGCGCUAAUACCGCAUACGUCCUGAGGGAGAAAGUGGGGGAUCUUCGGACCUCACGCUAUCAGAUGAGCCUAGGUCGGAUUAGCUAGUUGGUGGGGUAAAGGUAUACCAAGGCGACGUUCCGUAACUGGUCUGAGAGGAUGAUCAGUCACACUGGAACUGAGACACGGUCCAGACUCCUACGGGAGGCAGCAGUGGGGAAUAUUGGACAAUGGGCGAAAGCCUGAUCCAGCCAUGCCGCGUGUGUGAAGAAGGUCUUCGGAUUGUAAAGCACUUUAAGUUGGGAGGAAGGGCAGUAAGUUAAUACCUUGCUGUUUUGACGUUACCAACAGAAUAAGCACCGGCUAACUUCGUG